rnacentral:lncRNA from 1 species
CUACUUGUUUUGAUGAUAACAAAAUUAGUUUGUAGGAACAAUUUUAGACACUAAUGUUUUAUUUAAAGUGUGCACUUCCAAAACCACAAAACCAUAAAGGAUAUUAGAAUAUAUCCUCUGAUAAUUGGUCACUAAAACAUGGAAAACUCUGCAUUUAAAACUAGUAAAAACCCGCCUCUGAUAUAUUGUCUCUGCCUCUGAUGGUACAAGAAGUGUUUGCCAAGAUUGCCUAUGUUCCUAAUUUAGUUCUGCUCUCAGUGCAGCUGCUGAAGUCUGCCUAUGAUGAAGCAAAACAAGUUUUGGAAAAGUCUGCCUCUGAUGAAGCAACAAGUUUCUGGUCAAACUGCCUAUGACCAGUUGCCUUUGGAGAUGAAGCAAGCAUUUGAGUUCAUUUGCCUCUGAUACACAAGGUAACAAGAAUUCCUCUACCUUUACCUCUGAUAAUCUCAUCAAGUGUCUGACUCUGAACUAUUAUGUAUCCUUUGGAAAAGUCAACGUCCUAGAAAAGCCAACACUCAGAAAAAGUCAACAUCUUGGAAAAAGUCAAUGUACAGAGAAAAGUCAAUGUUUUGGAAAAAGACAACGAAUCUGGUGAAAAGUCAACGCUGGAAAAAGUCAAUGUCUGUAGUAAAAGUCAACGCUCUGACAAAAUCACGUCAUUUACUUUUGUCUCUGAUCAUUGCUUCUGGUCCAGUAAGUCUGCUUCUAGUAAAAAAAUCAUGAUUUUGGUGUUCCUCCUCUGUUCAAGAAAUCAUGCAUAUGAUGUUCUUGCCUCUGGUCAAGAAAUCAUGCGUCUGGUGUCCCUGCCUCUGGUCAUGAAAUCAUGUCUCUGAUUGUUCCUGCCUCUAGUCUAUUGAUCAUGCCUUUGGUUGUUCUUUGCCUCUAAUCAAGAACAUUUUGCUUCAGCCAAACUGAAAUCAAAAUACUUAGAAAAUUUCUAAGUUUCAAUUUUAUGCUCAACGGUUAGAAAUAAUCUCAACAGAUAUAUUUUUAAAGACAUUGAAGCACCAUGUUGAAGGACAACAAGACCAUAUACCAUGAAGGACACAAGGCCAUUCCAUGAAGGACACUAAGCCAUCCCUUGAAGAACAAAGACAUUGUUGUAACUGCUUCUAUAAUUGACACCCAAUUUUGAGUUCAAAAAAAAGAUAAAACAAGACGCAACAACUAACGACAUUCUUUCAAAAAGAAACACUCACAAACCGCAAGCCAACACUGAGUUAGAAAUUGUUCAAAUUUAUCAAAGUGUUGAGAAAGAAAAAUCUAAGAGCUUAUCUUAUAAACAUCCUCUAGUUAGAGAGAAAAUUCUACAAAACCACAAACAUAUAUUAUGUUGUAACCAAGCCCAGUAAUAGCUGAUUGUGUUCCUCAACGGUUUGGCGGCACUAAGUUGAAAGUUGAGAAAACUUGUUAGAACUUGUAAGCUCAGUACGGUAGUGACUAUCAUUUCCUCAACAACUUGACGGUACAAAGUUGGAUGUGAGAAGAUUGAACAUAGUCAUAGUGAGUUCAAGUGUAAGUUCUAAUUAUAUGGAUUAAAUCCUUCGAAGGAAGGGACUAGACAUAGCUACUCAGUUAGUAGUGAACCAGAUCAAUUAUUGAAUUAUUUAUUUUAUCAUUUCAGUUUUAUCACUUGAGUUUUUAAGCCAUUCGAAAUGCUUUUCAAAACUAUGAACACAAUUCAAAUCCCCUUUUCUUGUGUUUCUUGACCAACAAAUUCCCCUCACAAAAAAAAAAUUAGAAUUGUUUAACAAAAGAUGGAUUAAAUAUGAAUUUUUAAGUGCUAAAAGCUCUUACGAAGAAUUCGGUGGUGCUAAGGAUUCGUCGUAAGCUGACAUUUCGCUUCUCUGGACGAUACAAAGAUAUACAGAAACUAGGAAAAGUAGCUUACAAACUGUAGUUCCCUGAAACCUCUCGGAUAAAUGCAAUAGUUCCUGUUUCUCAGCUGUAAAAGGCAGCAGCAGGUAAUUAUCAGCCAACAUAUGAGUUGCUUAUGAGCUUAGGUCCUGAAAUGGAAGGUAUAGUUCAUCCAAAAAAAGGUAUUAUAUAGGAGGGAUAAUAAGUUUGAAGAACGGUAGCAUAGAAGAGAAUCGCUAAUUCAGUGGAAAGGCAUGGAUGCUAGGGAUGCUACAUGGGAAAAUGAAUUGUUGUUUAGGAGCCAGAACGAGGCAGAAAUUAAAGGAGAGGGUAAUGAUAAGGCGCUGACUAAGCCAAAUCAAACAAAGAAGGUGCUGUUUUAGUGGGCUUAAGGCUUAGUGGGAAACUUGAGAACAACUUUGCUUUGUGUUUUUUCAAGUUUCUAACUUUUAAUUCAUUGUCAUAAUAUCAUAUAUUACUUUCAUUUUUUUAAACCAGCUCAUAUGAAGGGAGAGCUUUAUUUUGAAUUAUUGUGAAAAAAGGAAAUUUAUUUUUAAAAAUUGUGCAUCCAAUAUGUUGUUAAAAUGUGAUUUUUUUACAUUAAAUAUUUUUUUUAGAAACUUAUUUGCAUGAACUUAUAACAAUAAGGAGUAUUGUAAACUAUAUUACAAUAAGGAGUAGUGGAGGCUGAGUAUUGGCUCUUAUAUGUUAUAUGGCUGGAAGAGAAUGUUUUCUCAUUUCCGAGGAGCCUUGGCUCUGGAUAUUUUGUAUUGAGAGUUUUCUCUAUUUUCUCGCAUUUGAAUACAAUUUCCAUUCCUUUUCCUGUAAUUCUUAAUUCUGCUCUAUCAGCUAGUUAGUUCGGUUACAUUGUGAUGUCUGAAAUAGGAGGACGAGAUUGGAAAAAACUAUCUUGUCAUUUGAAAGUAAGUUGGGUUCUAUAACUUGGAAGGUUUAAACCCUAAAAAAUUAUUUGUAAUUAAUGUUUAUCACUAUUUCUUUCUAAUAAAGAUACCAAUUCCUAUCAAUUAUUUUCCAUGUUGACAUUUUGAAAACUAAAUUAUUAUAUAAUAUUAAUAUAUUUAACAGCUGGAAAUAAUGGUUCAUGGUAAAUCACCUAACAAGGGAGUUCACCCUAACGUUAGCAUAAGUUUUAAUACUUUGAAACUUAAAACUAAAACUUAUAUCAGUCAAUGAAACACGUGAAUGGCUACGUCAAAUGCCAAAACAAACAAUAUUCAUCUAAGAAAAAAAAUACCGUAGUGAAGGACAAAGAAUACAUAC